UGGGGAAUAUUGGACAAUGGGCGCAAGCCUGAUCCAGCCAUGCCGCGUGAGUGAUGAAGGCCCUAGGGUUGUAAAGCUCUUUCACCGGUGAAGAUAAUGACGGUAACCGGAGAAGAAGCCCCGGCUAACUUCGUGCCAGCAGCCGCGGUAAUACGAAGGGGGCUAGCGUUGUUCGGAAUUACUGGGCGUAAAGCGCACGUAGGCGGACAUUUAAGUCAGGGGUGAAAUCCCGGGGCUCAACCCCGGAACUGCCUUUGAUACUGGGUGUCUAGAGUUCGAGAGAGGUGAGUGGAAUUCCGAGUGUAGAGGUGAAAUUCGUAGAUAUUCGGAGGAACACCAGUGGCGAAGGCGGCUCACUGGCUCGAUACUGACGCUGAGGUGCGAAAGCGUGGGGAGCAAAACAGGAUUAGAUACCCUGGUAGUCCACGCCGUAAACGAUGGAAGCCAGCUGUCGGCAAGUUUACUUGUCGGUGGCGCAGCUAACGCAUUAAGCUUCCCGCCUGGGGAGUACGGUCGCAAGAUUAAAACUUAAAUGAAUUGACGGGGUCAUAGCUGUUUCCUG
rnacentral:rRNA from 1 species